GGUCCCAUGGCGCAAUCGGUUAGCGCGUCGUACUAAUAAUAUCGAAGAUUUUCUUCGUAUUAUCUAGUGAUGCGAAGGUUCUGAGUUCAAUCCUCAGUGGGACCA